CGGGGCGUAGCGCAGCUUGGCAGCGCGCCUCGCUUGGGACGAGGAGGUCGGAGGUUCAAAUCCUCUCGCCCCGACCA
rnacentral:tRNA from 1 species